GGAUGUGAGGGCGAUCUGGCUGCGACAUCCAUCACCCCAUUGAUGGCCAGGGUUGAUUCGGCUGAUCUGGCUGGCCAGGAGGGUGUCCCCUUCCUCCCUCACCACUCCGUGUGCGUCCCUCCCGAAGCUGCGUGCUCGGUCGAAGAGGACGACCUUCCCCGAUAGAGGCGUACCGUUCAUCGGUCAAGGGUAUA
rnacentral:snRNA from 1 species